CAGAAUUGGUGCAGGUUUGUCAAGGCCAAAGCCAACCAAGUCAGCUGCAAGAAUUAAGUGGUCUACAUAUUGAUUCUGCUGGAGUCUCUGCCCACUGUUAUCUUCAUAAAAUGCAGUAUCCCUUUGCAUCCUCCAGUCAGGAGGAGGCAGAAUGAGACAUAAACUAUGGAAAGAAGAAACCAAAAAGGAUUUUUAAAAAACUUCUGAAGAUCGGAAAAUAGCCAAGAUGGCCGAAUAGGAACAGCUCCGGUCUGCAGCUCCCAGCGUGAUUGACGCAGAAGACAGGUGAUUUCUGCAUUUCCAACUGAGGUACCUGGUUCAUCUCAUUGGGACUGGUUGGAGAGUGGGUACAGCCCACAGAGGGUGAGCCAAAGCAGGGUGGGGUGUCGCCUCACCUGGGUAGCACGAGGGGUUGGGGUAUUUCCUUUUCCUAGCCAAAGGAAGCCGUGACAGACUAUACGUGGAAAAAUGGGACAGUCCCGCCUAAAUACUGUGCUGUUCCAAUGGUCUUAGCAAAUGGCACUCCAGGAGAUUAUAUCCCGCACCUGGCUCGGAGGAUCCCACGCCCAUGGAGCCUUGCUCACUGCUAGCGUAGCAGUCUGAGAUCAACCUGCAAGGCAGCAGCCUGGCAGGGGAAGGGGCAUCUGCCAUUGCUGAGCCUUGAGUAGGUAAACAAAGCAGCCGGAGAAGCUCAAACUGGGUGGCGCCCACCACAGCUCAGCAAGGCCUGUUGCCUCUGCUGACUCCACCUUUGGGGGCAGAGCAUAGCUGAACAAAAGGCAACAAAAACUUCUGCAGUCUUAAAUGUCCCUGUCUGACAGCUCUGAAGAGAGCAGUGGUUCUCCCAGUGUGGCAUUUGAGCUCUGAGAACAGACAGACUGCCUCCUCAAGUGGGUCCCUGACCCCCAUGUAGCCUGACUGGGAGACACCUCCCAGUAUGGGCCGACUGACCCCUCAUACAGAC
rnacentral:lncRNA from 10 species